rnacentral:rRNA from 1 species
GAUGAACGCUGGCGGCGUGCCUAAUACAUGCGAGUCGAGCGAACAGAUGAGGAGCUUGCUCCUCUGACGUUAGCGGCGGACGGGUGAGUAACACGUGGAUAACCUACCUAUAAGACUGGGAUAACUUCGGGAAACCGGAGCUAAUACCGGAUAAUAUAUUGAACCGCAUGGUUCAAUAGUGAAAGACGGUUUUGCUGUCACUUAUAGAUGGAUCCGCGCCGCAUUAGCUAGUUGGUAAGGUAACGGCUUACCAAGGCAACGAUGCGUAGCCGACCUGAGAGGGUGAUCGGCCACACUGGAACUGAGACACGGUCCAGACUCCUACGGGAGGCAGCAAUAGGGAAUCUUCCGCAAUGGGCGAAAGCCUGACGGAGCAACGCCGCGUGAGUGAUGAAGGUCUUCGGAUCGUAAAACUCUGUUAUUAGGGAAGAACAAAUGUGUAAGUAACUAUGCACGUCUUGACGGUACCUAAUCAGAAAGCCACGGCUAACUACGUG